UACGUAGGGUGCGAGCGUUGUCCGGAAUUAUUGGGCGUAAAGAGCUCGUAGGCGGUUUGUUGCGUCGGCCGUGAAAACCUGCGGCUUAACUGUGGGCCUGCGGCCGAUACGGGCAGACUUGAGUGCGGUAGGGGAGACUGGAAUUCCUGGUGUAGCGGUGAAAUGCGCAGAUAUCAGGAGGAACACCGGUGGCGAAGGCGGGUCUCUGGGCCGAUACUGACGCUGAGGAGCGAAAGCGUGGGGAGCGAACAGG
rnacentral:rRNA from 1 species